UAUUAGCUCAGUUGGUUAGAGCACAUGACUGUUAAUCAUGGGGUCGUAGGUUCGAGUCCUACAUAGU
rnacentral:tRNA from 1 species